GAUGAACGCUGGCGGCGUGCCUAAUACAUGCAAGUCGAGCGAACAGACGAGGAGCUUGCUCCUCUGACGUUAGCGGCGGACGGGUGAGUAACACGUGGAUAACCUACCUAUAAGACUGGGAUAACUUCGGGAAACCGGAGCUAAUACCGGAUAACAUGUUGAACCGCAUGGUUCAACAGUGAAAGACGGUCUUGCUGUCACUUAUAGUUGGAUCCGCGCCGCAUUAGCUAGUUGGUAAGGUAACGGCUUACCAAGGCAACGAUGCGUAGCCGACCUGAGAGGGUGAUCGGCCACACUGGAACUGAGACACGGUCCAGACUCCUACGGGAGGCAGCAGUAGGGAAUCUUCCGCAAUGGGCGAAAGCCUGACGGAGCAACGCCGCGUGAGUGAAGAAGGUCUUCGGAUCGUAAAACUCUGUUAUGAGGGAAGAACAAAUGUGUAAGUAACUAUGCACGUCUUGACGGUACCUAAUCAGAAAGCCACGGCUAACUACGUG
rnacentral:rRNA from 1 species